AUUGAACGCUGGCGGCAGGCCUAACACAUGCAAGUCGAGCGAGUGGCGGACGGGUGAGUAAUGUAUGGGAAUCUGCCUGAUGGAGGGGGAUAACUACUGGAAACGGUGGCUAAUACCGCAUACUAUCGGAUGAACCCAUAUGGGAUUAGCUAGUUGGUGGGGUAAAGGCUCCCCUAGGCGACGAUCCCUAGCUGGUCUGAGAGGAUGAUCAGCAACACUGGAACUGAGACACGGCCCAGACUCCUACGGGAGGCAGCAGUGGGGAAUAUUGCACAAUGGGCGCAAGCCUGAUGCAGCCAUGCCGCGUGUAUGAAGAAGGCCUUAGGGUUGUAAAGUACUUUCAGCGGGGAGGCGUUACCCGCAGAAGAAGCACCGGCUAACUCCGUGCCAGCAGCCGCGGUAAUUC
rnacentral:rRNA from 1 species